AAGUUGCGUCACCAAAACAACAACACGCAGCGGGACGGCAAAGCAGCUGCAACUCCGCUAUUUUACUGAAAACUGGCAUUUUUAUUAUGUUUACGGCGAGUUAUAGACUCUAGAUAUAGCGGAAAUUACACGACGCUGAAUAGCGCAUUUAAUCCUUUUCUUUUAUGGUAAAUGUUAGCUGCGCAUUAGCCAACAUCUAAUGUAUUACGCCCAUUUCUAGUCUUUUCAGUGGCUACAACUGAUGAUGGCGACACUAGCAAUUCGUGUUAUAAAUCCAGAUGUCCCUGCACCUUGUCAGCAAACCGGGUGAGAAGUAUGGUCUUCACCAAACCUCAACAGGAGCAACUCAGCCAAGUUGCUGACUUCCCUCACGCACAGAAGCUUCUUUGAGCAGAGGGUAUCCACGCGCCUUCACGUCAGCAGUGCCCCCGGUAGACUGCAGCGAGAACUGCAUCUGAACCAUCCAGACUGUCUGUCUCUCUCGUCAUGGUCAUCUAAAUGCAAUGCACAGUAAUAGCGAACGGUGUGUGGAGCUGAAUGAGGCCGAGACCCAGCUCAAUAUUCAGCUCAAACAGAUCUUGGAGCAAAUUGGUGCCCAGGAAAAAACACACUGUGGCUCUACAGCAGGCCAUUCACAACAAAGAAGCUCCACUGCGAGUAGCUCAGUCCAGACUUUACCUUCGCUCCCUCAGACCCAACAUGGAGCUCUGCAGGGAUGAACCCCAGCUCAGGUAUGCAUACACAAAACAAUAAACUUCUUUGUCUUUCUCACUGCUCUGUUUUUUUGCUUCUGUAGUUUGUAGGGGGAGGUGAAGCAGAUUGAUGCCACUCUGGCAUCUCUACACCAGAAGCUGAGCAAAGCCAGAGAGUGCCUGUCUCAUCUGGAGGAGUCACGCAUGGAUACUGAAAGGGAUAUCUUCAUACACAUGAUCACCAUCGUCAUUAUCGUAGAUGUGCCAGUUGUCCUGCUGCUCAGAAGAAUCCAAAUUGAAACACACUGUUAGGUUUAUAUUGUUGGAUUGUCAUUUAUGCUUAGAAAUAUAUAAUC